AUUGAACGCUGGCGGCAUGCCUUACACAUGCAAGUCGAACGGUAACAGGUUAAGCUGACGAGUGGCGAACGGGUGAGUAAUGUAUCGGAACGUGCCCAGUCGUGGGGGAUAACUGCUCGAAAGAGCAGCUAAUACCGCAUACGACCUGAGGGUGAAAGCGGGGGAUCGCAAGACCUCGCGCGAUUGGAGCGGCCGAUAUCAGAUUAGGUAGUUGGUGGGGUAAAGGCCUACCAAGCCUACGAUCUGUAGCUGGUCUGAGAGGACGACCAGCCACACUGGGACUGAGACACGGCCCAGACUCCUACGGGAGGCAGCAGUGGGGAAUUUUGGACAAUGGACGCAAGUCUGAUCCAGCCAUGCCGCGUGCGGGAAGAAGGCCUUCGGGUUGUAAACCGCUUUUGUCAGGGAAGAAAAGGGUGUUUCUAAUAAAGACGCCUCAUGACGGUACCUGAAGAAUAAGCACCGGCUAACUACGUGCCAGCAGCCGCCGCCG
rnacentral:rRNA from 1 species